AGCGAACGCUGGCGGCAUGCUUAACACAUGCAAGUCGCACGGAUCUUUCGGGAUCAGUGGCGGACGGGUGAGUAACGCGUAGGGAUCUAUCCAUGGGUGGGGGACAACUCCGGGAAACUGGAGCUAAUACCGCAUGAUACCUGAGGGUCAAAGGCGCAAGUCGCCUGUGGAGGAACCUGCGUUCGAUUAGCUAGUUGGUGGGGUAAAGGCCUACCAAGGCGAUGAUCGAUAGCUGGUUUGAGAGGAUGAUCAGCCACACUGGGACUGAGACACGGCCCAGCCUCCUAGGGGGGGCGGCAGUGGGGAAUAUUGGACAGUGGGCGAAAGCCUGACCCAGCAAGGCCGGGUUGGUGAAGAAGGUUUUCGGAUUGAAAAGCCCUUUCGCCGGGGACGAUGAUGCCGUGCCCCGUAGAAGAAACCCCGGCAAACUUCGG
rnacentral:rRNA from 1 species